UGUUUAUAAGUAUGUAGUGCAACGUUUGUUUGAAUCUCUCACAUAAGUCCCUUUUUAAAAUGAGUAUCACCAAUUCUAAAAUUCAUAUGCCUCGCAAGAAGUUUAAUAUAAGUUUACUAAGCUGUUUUUGUAAGUAGCUGCUUUCUGCCACUCUCUUCAUCAUGCUAGAGAGCAAAAUUAAAAGAGUUCCUGGUCGACUCCCUCCAAUCUCGAGUCAAGACAAAGAGAGCCAGGUAGAAGAUAUCUCCAAAUUGCCAAAAUCUAAACUCCUGGAGCUUAUCGACAGACAGAAGAAAAUCGUGAACAACAGAGCUUUUCUCAGCAGACUUCCGGAUAAAGGUGCUAAAAUUACUUCAAAGUAUGAAAAUUUACUGGCCGAGUUGAAGAAACGAGAGGAUACAGAGACGAACCUGUGUAGUUUGAUGUCAACUUUGGCUGUUGGUAAACAAGAAGUGGCAGAUAUCGAAUGGACUGGAAAUUGCAAUCCGGGAAUCUCAAGAACCAAGGCUGCUGACGAAGGGGCGGAAGAUAGUGAUUCGGAGGAUGUUGAUCCGUUGAAAAUAAUUGCCACCCAUUCUGGCGCCGGGUUUGCAAAAAAGGAACUGCGGAUUGAGAAGCCACAGGAAAGCUUAAUAAAAGAAUCAGAUUUGAAAGACGAUGAUGCGCCAAAUAGACUUGGAACAACAAAUGAACAAGAGGAAGAAGUAGCCUCAGCUUUGAGAAAUAUUGAAGAAUAUGCAGUUCAUUUAUGUGAGAAAUUUGAUGUAACAUCUCCCAAAAAGGAUGAAAAAUUUUAUCCGCAUAAAACUGUCAAAGAGAAACAUGUAAAUAAGUCCAAAGAAAGUUUGAGUCAGAAAGACAAGCCGUGGUGGGAAGUCACCGCUGCAACACCUCCUCUUCCUGUCCAUGAAACCGUUAAAGUUGUUAGUCUUAAAGAAUCCCUCGUCAUACAGCAAAAACAAGCUGAACAGUUAAAGGAAGUACAAGCAAAACAUGCUGCUGAACGUUUGACCAGGAUGCGUGGAAUAUUUCCAGAUUCAACCUCUGUACCUUCAAAUUACGGUGACUAUCGAGAACAAAAAGAGGUGGACUCUGAUGGAACCUCUGAUGACGAAGAAAAAGAGUGUCUGGAUGAGGAAGUUGAACGAGAAAGGGAUGUUGCUGUAUUUUAUAAUGUCGUCGAUUAACAGCAGGAUGGACCCAGCUUUCCCUUCACCUGUCAUGUAAAAAUAGGAUCAGUUGGAGUAGGUCCAUGAUAGCUGUCUGAAAAUGAUUACCACCUAUAAUGACAGUAAAGGUCUUGUUUCAAUGCGAUGCCACUUCAUUGAUGAGGAUCAGAAGUAACCAAAAUAGUAUGGGCUCAAUGAUCUCGCCAUCAACAAUGGAAGUGUAAGUUUACCAAGUGAGUUUAAUUUUUUUUAAUCGAAUUUUUUAACUUAAUUUUGUAAAUGUCUAAAGUUAUUUGUAAAUUUAGUUGUUAUUUUGCCUACUAUUUUGUUUGUACCUGGGAAUAAACAAUUUUUAUCUUUUUUAAUGAUUACAAUCAAAUU